GGGGAUGUAGCUCAGUGGUAGAGGGCAUGCGUUGCCUGUAAGAGGUCCUGGGUUCAAUCCCCAGCAUCGCCA
rnacentral:tRNA from 1 species